UCUCGGGUGAGAUCACCACGGAGCGGCUUAGCGCGGCGCACAAGUCUCGCGAGAGAAGCGGCGGCUGGGCCCUGCAGGCGGAGGAAGUGGAAAAAGUCGCGGGAGGGUAGGGGACCGCGGAACUUCUGGUUGCUAUGACGACGGCAAAGCCCUGGAUUCCUGUCUCCUGCGGAGAGCAGAGGCUGCAAACGGCAUUCAAGCAGCCCUGAGGAGAGGUCCACAUGGUGAGCCACUGAGGGCCUUGCCAAGAGCCAGCACCAACGGUCCAGGUUUGGAGUGUACCACCUUGGAAGUGAAUCUUCCAGUCCAGUCAAGCCUUCAGAUGACUUCAGAACCGUCCAUGUAAGCCACUCUUGGAUUCCUGACCCACAGAAACUGUUGGAGGCAUUAUCAACAGUUUCUAACAUCACAGACAGACAAACAUGUGCCUCCUGAUUGAAAAAACAGAACAUCACCUGUAGUCUUGCCAGUGAGAUCAAACUGAAGUCCAAUUAACCUCUGGAUCCAGCUGCCAAUUUGCAGGAAAUAGAGGAGAGAAGCAUCUGUUGAACUGCACCAUGAGUAUACACUCAGCAAAGGCCAAACUGUGGAAAAUGAUACAGGUCAAACAGCCUGGAUUCUUUAACAGUAAGUGAUGUUUCUGAAGCACCAAUGAAAAUGAAGUCCUGAAGUCCUGUGCUCAAUAUGAAAUGUUGGAAGUUAGAAGAAAAAAACAAAACUUGGAUCCAAUCUCAAGGCACUUUUUGUUUAAUGGGAAGAAGUGGAUUAUUUUAAAAGCUACAAAUAAAGUUACAUAAAAGUAGCAAA
rnacentral:lncRNA from 1 species